GAGUUUGAUCUUGGCUCAGAUUGAACGCUGGCGGCAGGCCUAACACAUGCAAGUCGAGCGGUAGAGAGAAGCUUGCUUCUCUUGAGAGCGGCGGACGGGUGAGUAAUGCCUAGGAAUCUGCCUGGUAGUGGGGGAUAACGCUCGGAAACGGACGCUAAUACCGCAUACGUCCUACGGGAGAAAGCAGGGGACCUUCGGGCCUUGCGCUAUCAGAUGAGCCUAGGUCGGAUUAGCUAGUUGGUGAGGUAAUGGCUCACCAAGGCGACGAUCCGUAACUGGUCUGAGAGGAUGAUCAGUCACACUGGAACUGAGACACGGUCCAGACUCCUACGGGAGGCAGCAGUGGGGAAUAUUGGACAAUGGGCGAAAGCCUGAUCCAGCCAUGCCGCGUGUGUGAAGAAGGUCUUCGGAUUGUAAAGCACUUUAAGUUGGAGGAAGGGCAGUAAAUUAAUACUUUGCUGUUUGACGUUACCGACUAGAAUAAGACACCGGCUAACUCUGUG
rnacentral:rRNA from 1 species